AAAACAAUGUCAAAUGCUUGAAAUAAAGAAUAAUUAGAGGUAGUUGAGUGUGGUUUUUCAUCCCAUAUGAUUUUUUCUUUGAAAAUAUGAAAAUUCAAUCUCUGCCAAGAAUAUUUGAGCUGGCAAUAGAAAUUAACAAGGAAAUUGGUUGCUUAAUAGUAGAUCUCAAAUAAGUCCGUCGACCUCUUCCAAAAGAGCUUGCUCUGAAAGAGGAAGCCGUGACAAUGACAAUAGCGAAAGUUGGUUGCGAGGAAAAUGAAAUUAAAAAAACAUACAGGUUUCCUGUUCAAUCUUAAGAAAAUCAGUCUAUGCUAAUGCUAGUUUCGAAAGAAUGUUGCGUACCUAUACAAGUUACGUUAACGGUAACUCGUAAUAUGUUUCUUAAACAUGUAACAUUUACAGUAACUAUUUAUAGGUAUUCAUAUUAUUUCUAAUAUACGGUCAACAGUAACUCAUUUUUUGAGUUGAAUAAUUCGACAGUUAAAUUAAAGCUCUGUUAAGGCGUAUUGUCUGGGCGAAAGAGAGGUGCAUAUAUUAUCAUACAGACCGUUGCUUUUAUCAAGAUAACCAUAUAAUAAUGAAACUUCUCUUUUUUAGCAAACGAUCGACUUGCAAAGUUGUGCAGAAAUGACGGAGAUGAUAAAACGCAAGAUUGAAAACACGGAAGCAUUUCCUCAUUUUCAAUCAAUUCUUCAACAUUUUCUUCAUUUUCCAAGUAUUUUUUCUAUUUCAUGUGGAUCUUUUCGUAGUGGUGUAGCAUGACAAUAGAGAAGCGAGAUAAAUUUGGGUUCUAGCGGAUAAAGUAAUCCAACAAAUGACAAUUCAAAGCGAAGAUGGCGAAGAUUUGGAAGAAUUGCGACAGAGGCUUGCUAAGCUUGACAUAAUUGACUAGACAACACAAGAAAAGGACGAAGUAAACGAAUAGAUGGAAAAACAGAAAAAUUGAAUUAGAGCGUAAGACUGCAGAGAAGAAUGAGCUUGAAGCUCACAAAAAAGUCUAGGAAAAACUUAAAGAGAUCGUCGAAAAAUCUCUUUGGAAGAUUCCUGAGGAUUGCAACGUUGAGCAUUUUGUCAAGAUUAGUACUGGUGCCCCACCGGAAAUUGCUAAUCUUGAAGCACAUGUUGGUCCGCCUCCCCUUCUACGUUAGCUGGAUUACUUACUCCUGGAGCACCAACACCUCUAACUUUAGGGGAUGCAAUACAAGUCGUAAAACUAGAGAAGAAAUCUACGCUAAUUAGAAUGACGGAGGUUAUCAAACGUUAAAUUGGACAAACGGAAGCAUUUCCUCCUUUUUUAUCCAUUCUUCGACAUUUUCUUCUUUUUCCAAACGACAAUAGAGAAGCGAGAUAAAUUUGGGUUCUUGCGGAUAAAGUAAUCCAACAAAUGACAAUUCAAAGCGAAGAUGGCGAAGAUUUGGAAGAAUUGCGACAUAGGCUUGCUAAGCUUGACAUAAUAAUUGACGAGACAACACAAGAAAAGGACGAAGUAAAUGAAGAGAUGGAAAAACAAAAAUUGAAUUAGAGCUUAAGACUGCAGAGAAGAAUGAGCUUGUAGCUCACAAAAAAUCUAGGAAAAACUUAAAGAGAUCGUCGAAAAAUCUCGUGGGAAGAUUCCUGAGGAUUGCAACGUUGAGUAUUUUGUCAAGAAUAGUACUGGUGCCCCACCGGAAAUUGCUAAUAUUGAAGCACAUGUUGGUCCGCCUCCCCUUCUACGUUAGCUGGAUUACUUACUCCUGGAGCACCAACACCUCUAACUUUAGGGGAUGCAAUACAAGGUCCACUACCUUGAAGUCGUAAAACUAGAGAAGAAAUCUACGCUAAUUAGAAUGACGGAGAUUAUCAAACGUUAAAUUGGACAAACGGAAGCAUUUCCUCCUUUUUUAUCGAUUCUUCGACAUUUUCUUCUUUUUCCAAACGACAAUAGAGAAGCGAGAUAAAUUUGGGUUCUAGCGGAUAAAGUAAUCCAACAAAUGACAAUUCAAAGCGAAGAUGGCGAAGAUUUGGAAGAAUUGCGACAUAGGCUUGCUAAGCUUGACAUAAUAAUUGACGAGACUACACAAGAAAAGGACGAAGUAAAUGAAUAGAUGGAAAAACAGAAAAAUUGAAUUAGAGCGUAAGACUGCAGAGAAGAAUGAGACGACAAUAGAGAAGCGAGAUAAAUUUGGGUUCUAGCGGAUAAAGUAAUCCAACAAAUGACAAUUCAAAGCGAAGAUGGCGAAGAUUUGGAAGAAUUGCGACAGAGGCUUGCUAAGCUUGACAUAAUUGACUAGACAACACAA